ACCAUCCUUUUGUCAAUCUUUCGUAGCCUUCAUCAAAUUCAUAUGGAACCUUGUUAGUCCUCCUAGCAAGAUCUUCACAUUGAUAGAUCCUACUGGGGGCACUAACAAGAUUCUAUAUGAAUUUGAUGAAGGCUACGGAAGAUUGAUAAAAUGAUGGU
rnacentral:pre_miRNA from 1 species